AAAAAAAAAAAAAAAAGUCUUAACAAUAAUGGUCUCAGCAGCUCAGGUCACCAGUUUGUACAGCCUUGUUGUGUAGGUAUCAAAGUAGAAACAAUGUUGACAAAAAAUACAACAAUGAUUUCAUUUCAAAAACAAAACUGAAGAUUUCAAAACACAACAAACAUCUAACUUUACUAAUAGUUUAAAAAAAAAAAGAAUGGUCUAAUCUUAACAAUCAUACCAUAUGAAACAAACGCACACAAUUCCAGAAUGACUUGAUCAAGCAUCCAGACAAUCAUGCUGGCUAAAAUAAACAGACGCCACCAGAACAACUGGCCCUGGCAUGCGCACAAUC